AUGUUAUAAUUAAGGUCAUUAAGUUGUAUUAUUUUUGUUAUUGAUAUUGUCACAUAUUGGACCGAUGUGUCUGUAAGCCAAGAGGCAUCACACCUCUUUGGAAACUAUAUAAACUGUUGGAAAAUUAGAAUAAUGUGAAUGGAAAUUAAUUUAGUGAUAAUUUAUGGGAUUCUUCAUGUGAUAAUUUAUGGGACUCUUCAUGGUGACAAACUCUUGAGUAGAGUUUUUAUGUCACUUGAUUAGCUUUUAUUAGAGUUUUUAUUUCUCUAAUUAAAUACCUAAUUAAGUGAAACUUUACUAGAGUUUUAUGUCUCUAAUAAAUCACCAUUUAAGAGAAACUUUUCAUAACCCACAUCUCUUGUAAAAAUAGUAGGCUUUGUGCCUCAUUUUGAGAUAGAGAAAAAUGCUAGAAAAAUACAAGAGAAGGGAUACAAGAAAUAUACAUGAAUAUAUGGAGAGUUCUUGGAAAGAAGAAAUACUUGGGGACCCAUGUGAUGGGUACUUAGAGAAAUAUGUUUUCUCUAUACGAUUUCAUCACCUUUGUAUCAUAAUUUUCCACAAGUUCUAACACUACAAUUACCGGAUGUAACCUUGGGCC
rnacentral:lncRNA from 1 species